rnacentral:lncRNA from 1 species
UUUCCGCCAGUGUGUCUGUUUACGUAUAAAAUUACAGAUGGAGAACGUGUGCAGCCUCUGCCUGGACGUGUCCAGGGGGAACGGGAAAACGUCAGCCGCGUCCAGGAAUGAGAAGCCAAGCGUGGCUCAGGCAGAGCCUGACGGGGUCGGUUCUCCCACAAAGGCAGAAAGUCGGGGAAUUCCAGGCUCGGUGGAAAAGGUAACCUGAACUAUUCUGCAGCGUUCGUCCAAUUGCACGUCUCCCUCAAAACCUCACUGACCCUGGAAGCACUUGUUUUAAAGUCUUGGUUGAAACAAAACUGGGAUUUUUAAGAAAAAUAACAAAUUUCUGGUACUUUAAGAUGUGAACGGUUUUAAGCUUUUACUGGCUUCUGUCAAAAUCAAAUUGGAGCAACUUCAGUCUCAGCUGCACCCAAAGUGGACGAAAACCCGGUUCUAUCCCCAAGGAACCGACAGCCAGGACGCGGCUGCGAGAACUGUGAUCCAGCUGGCAUCGCUGUCGGUGGUGUUCUCCUGUCCGGACGCGGAGGUGGGGCUGGCCGCUCGCUGUGCCCGUCCAGUGGGUCACCUCCCUCCACUGCCUGCCUGUGUCACGUUGCGUUUCAUUGCGAACAAGAUGAAAACAAAGACUGAAAGCAUAAGCCCGAAUGGGACUAAAGCUGGAAAGCGGCAAUUACGUGGAGCUGAGAAGGGAGUUGCUGACGCUCAUCAGACGAAAGUGAAUGUCCUUUUCUGUGGAAACAUCUCAUUAAUGCACGUUUCUUGGGUUUGGCUUUUCAGGAUCACAAGCAGGAAGACAUUAUAGAUAAAGAAAACACACACGUGUAUCUAGGACAUUUGCUGUGUUACUUCAAAGGAGGCAAACUGGAACAGGGACGAAGUCGUCAUGACCCGACACGGCCUGGCCUCUGGUGGGCUCCGAACCUCCGGACUGUCCGACGGGCUGAGACGCGGGCUGGGAGAGGGGCUCAGAGCAGCCCCGGGGCAUAUGGGAUGCUGUGCAGCCCAAGGCUGGGGCCUGCAGACAGCCUGCUGGGGUCUGUGAGUCGGAAUUGACUCGAGGCCACUAACAACAAGGGUGUGCGCACCUUCGUCUUUGCGAGACAGUAUCAAGUCGGCCUCUGCGCUGGUCACACCAGUUCACACUCCCACCAGCAACAUCCGGAAGUCCCAGUUGGUCUACGUCCCCCCAGUGCAUCUCAGGGUUUCUUCCUCUCAGCACUCGUGACUUCUGAGCUGGACAGUUCCCUGCGGGGUCUGUCCUGUAGCUGUGGGACGUUGAGCCACAUCCCUGGCCUCUACCCAGUAAAUGCCAGUAGCACCCCUGGUUGUGACAAUCAAACAUGACUCCAGACGUUGCCAGAUGUCACCGGGGGACAAAGUCACCUCAGCAGAGAACCACUGGUGUGUCUCAAGUUUCGUCAACGUCGUGUCAACGACAUCACUGUUGUCUUGGUUGCGUCUCUAACGACGAGUACGACUGAGCCUCCUGUCAGGACUCGGGCUUCGUGUUUCCUCUGUGAGAGUUUCCUGUUCGUAACUUGUGCCCAUUUUUAUAUUGGGUUGUUUGGUUUGUUCUUACACAUUUAUACAUUCCUUCAGUAUUUCAGAUACUUAUCUUUUGUUAGUUAUUCCAGUGGUCUUUCUGCACCAAAACAAUGUUCAUAAAUUUAUGCUUAUAAAGAUGGGAAACAAGCAUAUUGAAUUAAUAAAGCUCCAUGCAUUUUUAAAUAGAUGAGCUUUAAGAAUCCUUGGACAAUUUGAUCUUUCACUUUCUUUUAACCUUAAGCAAGAAGAGACAAUUUUUUAAAAAUUUCUUUCUGCCUUCGCAUUUUUUAAAUUUUUUACUCAAGUGCUGAUAAUCAGGAGUUGUUGUCAAGACUUUGGUUGAAAUCAAUCACAAUUUUGAGAAAAAUUAUCUCAAAGAUUUUUUUAUCUGAAAACAUUAACUAAUGAAGUUAUUAAUUAACUCUAAAAUGUUAAAGAUUUUUCUCACUGUAAGGAUUAUGGUGAGGUUUAACAUAAAUUAUUUUCUUGCUUUCAAGGAAGAUUUGUGGAGGAUGAGGAUCUGCUCUAGGUAGGACACUGCAGAUGUCAUAGAGUUGAGCAGAACAGCCUCCACUUGAGCAGUUUAUGAUUAGUUGGAAAAAUUAGACACUGAUGAGAAUAAUAUAACAGCAGAAUUUAACAGUUCGUAAAAACAAAAAGUGCUCACCUGCAGCCACACGCCUUGAUUCUGCAAACCUUCCCUGUGCACGAAAUUCAGGUCAGAGUCUGCCCUGAGGGGCGUCCAGUCCAGUGGAGCAGUCGGAGCGUGUGCCCCAAGGAAGCCGAGGUGGUUUUUUCUGGUUGUGAAGCUUCGAAAAGGUUAAAGAAGCAGAGACCUUCCGAUCCAGGCCUUAAGGAACAAGGAGACCGUCUCGGGGAGAAGUCUGCGUUCUGGCCGGCACACGGCUUUGCACCUUUGCGUCGCAGAAACAAGUGCAGCCUUGAACUUGGCAAAGGCUUGUGGGCGGAGACCUGCACCCUGGGACCCACGACUGGGGGACUCCACUGGCCCCUCGAAGCCCCCUUUCCUCGUCCCCCAGGGCAUCAUCAUAUAAAAAUAGUCAUUGCCUAUAAAAAUGCCAAUUCUUGUGUAAUUUUUAAGAAAACUACAGAGAAAUGCAUUUAUCUUCAUCAUCCUCGAUUAAAAGUCCAGUGUGCAGAUUCGUUGUCUGGAGAUGGAAGAGCUGCACCCACUGGGGGCGGGUGGGGCUCCUUCAGAGGCAGGAGGACUGACCUAGGCUCCCUCCCUCCCGCCUCUGUCUUUCAUUCGUUCUCAGUGUCUAACUUAGAACCUGUGAACAAAAAAAAGAAAUGAGUGUCUGGCCAGCUAGUCCUUCAGCUCCUGGAUGCAGGCGUCACGGAGAGAGUGCUGCCCCGGCCUUGACGGGUGUGAGCCAUUAACCUUCAAGCUGAUUCUGGAGACACUGUCGUGACAGUGUAACUGAAAGUUCGGUCUCUGAACCCGACGCCAAUCCAAAUAACGAGAACAGAGUCUUGAGCGGAAGAGGAAAGGUUUUUACUAUGCCAGGCACAGGGAGCAAAGCAAGGGCUCGUACCUCGAAAAUUGCUAGCUCCCCAAUGAGGAAUGGGCGGGUUCGAGCGCCGGGAGUCGAGGACUUGAGGUCUGGGAAGCCUCCGCUCCUUGGUACUUUGAGACAGCGGCUUUCCUGGCAAACUCGAGGACACAUGAUCAGCUAAACUUUAGUGUGCCUCCAACUCCAGGCCACCUGGGCUUUUAACAAUUUGUAACUCCCAUUUAGUUGUAAAGCUCAAAGAGUCCAAGUUUAAAGAAACAGGAACAAGUACCAAGUGAGAUUUCCUUCGUGUAAAUUUUGGUGUGGUCUUCCCCGUGGAAAGGGUGCAGGCGUUUCUGGUGCUCGCCCAGCGAGGUCGCUCCUCUCUCUGCACCUCCUCCCCUUCUUCAGGCCACGCUGGCUGCCUGUUCCAGAGGCGACGGUGUGAGAUGCCGGCUUAGGGACAGAAAACCUGAGGCUGAAUCCCCAUCUUGCAACUUGCGAGGAUCCUAUGCGGUCUCCAGAAUCCUCCCAGAAGGCCUGCGCCACGCCGUGUGUCCAUCUGCUCUUGUCUCCAAGGAUCUUUGGUCAACCCUGCUGGGAGGGGCCGGGCUUUGUCCCGAGGACCCAGAGUCUCGCCGAGUCUUUGUCCAAGGACAGAGUGAUGGUGUGUCAACGUCGAGGAGCAUCUAUGGAGACGAGACGGAAAGGACUGUCGUUAGAGUCGGUAUCCAGGGACAGGCUGAGAACUACAGGCCAGAUCUUCCUAGGAGUCACGACCUUGGCUGACGCCAGGUAUCCGACACUGCUUCCAUCUCCGUCCAGCUGGAGCCCCACAAGGCAGAAGCGAGGCCCACCACGGAGGAAGAAACUAUGCGUCAGGCACCCUGCUGGGUGCUUAGAUAGUAAACUGAAUUAUACUCUCCUCCUGCGAAGCGGAGCUGGGAUCUUCUUUCAGGAGAGGGGCCUGGCCGGUCCUGGCAGAGUUUACACCAAAAUUAUCCGAGAGUCUCUUCUCAGCAGAGGGGUCGCUGUGUCCCGAGCACCCUGACUUGCAUUUUGCGUGUGUCUGUUUAGCUUUGUACCGUUGCUCAGAACGUGCACUGGUGCUCUGAGCCCGGUGGCAGGCUCUCAGCUACGGUUUUGUUUAUGUCUCGGAACUGGAUUAAUAAGUACCUGCUCGCCUGGAGCCGCCUGGAGCAUCGACACCGCAGCAGCAUUGGAAGCGGCUGCUCGCCCUGCUCUGCCGAUGGGUGCAAGAUGCAGCCAGCAAAGAAGGGGGGAGGUGUCAGGAAAGCUGCCCCGAGUCAUUCUCUUUCAAGCUGCGCUCAAGUCCCCACUGUUUGAGUCUCAGAAAAAUAUUCAGAAAAGGGGCUUUUCUAAAAUAUCACAAUUUCUAAACAGACUCAGACCUAAUUACAGAUGCAAACGGCGUUGUGCAAUCUCUCUUUACGCUUCCUUAAGGCACCCUCAGAGUCAGGCAGUCUUCCUGAGAAGGCCACAGAGAAGGCCAAGGUGGGCAGGAAGCGGUUCACACACCUGGAAGAUUUGUACCUACAGAGGGAAACAGUGAAGCACGAAGGGCAUUCCUAUCGCAGAGGGGAUGGAAAUGGAAUAAAAAUCACACUCCUUGUCAGGCAGAACAUAAACGUCUUUAAAACAACAUGGCUGUGAUUUUAUGGGACAGAAAAAUCCGGACCAUUCUUUCGAAAUGGCAUUUCUGCCGCAAACCUUUGAAGAAUCACCGUAGCCCAAGGUGAAGACGGCACCGCGUAACAGAAGGCCCAGCUGGGACGCACACAUCCCCAGGUGGGAGAAAACGAAGCCGGCCGGCUGGAGACGGGGGAGGCGGUCCAGGAGUCGGCCUCCGGUGGAGCAGGUGAUGGAAA